rnacentral:SRP_RNA from 2 species
GCUGGGCGUGGUGGUGCUCACCUGUAAUCCCAGCUACUCAGGAGGCUGAGGCAGGAGAAUUGCUUGAGCCCAGGAAGUGGAGGUUGCAGUGAGCUGAAAUCAUGCCACUGCACUCCAGCAUGGGCGACAGAGCAAGACUCUGUCUCAA